rnacentral:lncRNA from 7 species
UCUUCUUUGCAGUCCUACAUAUAGAGAUGAGCAUUUUCGGCGUCUGUAAUACUGCUGAUCUGUUCUGUCUAAACCUAAGCUGUAUCUUUGAGAAGAGUCUUUGGCCAUUUGGUCCCUUUCAAAGGAAGACUUGAAGGUAUAAUAACACUGUAAUGCAUGUCUGAAUUUGUCCUGUGGCCUAUUCCUAAAAAUAAGAUUUUGAAUUAACUUCAAGCUUUCCUCCUCAAAUGGUGUGCUGCAUCAACUUUUGUUCAAAGGGUGCUGCACUUCAUUUCAGGAAACACAAUUUGAUUGGGCUCCAGGACUUCUGAUUUGUUCUCCUCAACCACUGGACAUCACAAAGGGCUGAAAGCCAAUCCUAAUUUUUUGCUGAAGAUUCAGUGGGGCAACAUAGAUUAAUUCCUUUUGCCUCUGCUACCAGAACAUCUUGCAAAAGGAGACUAAAGGAAUGGAUGAAGAUAGAAUGAGCACUAGAUUCCCACAAACAUUGUCCACGGAGAUUCUGAAGUCCUAAACUGGAAGAGAGGAGGAUAUCUUGUGUGGGGCUCCAACCAGGUGUGAAGUUGUUUGCAUUCCUAAGCACUGUGUUAAUAGAGAGCUAAACAUUUCUCUGAUAUGGCAAAGAAGUAUCCUGCACUGAUGCCAUGGACAAUGGAAAUUUUUUUCAAACUAACUGCAUGAUUAAACUGUACUUGUUUUCAUUUGAUUGUAUGACCUUAAUACGCUUAAUACGCUGAAGUAUUUCUUUGCAAGUUGUUAAACUCCUGUUCUGUACUUUAUAUGCAGUUAUGUUCACCUGUUAGAAAGAUACCCAAUAUUUAUGAUUCUGUAGACAUCAGCAGUAGAGCUAGCAGAGAAGUCUCUUACUCAGAGCUGAAUUAAUAACCUGGCGUAGCAUCGGGGCCAUUGUGCUGGUGGAAGUUAUAUAUUUCAGAUAAGACACGUUGUUUUGCAUAACUGAACUAGUGAAUAGUAUUAAUGUUACCAGGACAUUGGAAUAAUUCAGUGAUGAGAAAAAAUAUUCCAUGAUCUCUAAUCCUACAUUAGAGGAAUCAGAUAUGUCUGUAGUCUCAGUAGAAGAAAAUCAGUAUUUCUGUAAUUUCAACAAAGGUAUUCCUGUGUUCAGUCAUAGAAGUACCUCAGUCUUAGGAACACCAAGGCAAAUCCAGUGUUCUUACUUCUUGCCUAGAAAUAAACAAACAAAACC